UACGGAGGGUGCAAGCGUUAAUCGGAAUUACUGGGCGUAAAGCGCGCGUAGGCGGAUGAUUAAGUCAGAUGUGAAAGCCCCGGGCUCAACCUGGGAACUGCAUUUGAGACUGGUCGUCUAGAGUACAGAAGAGGGGGGUGGAAUUCCAGGUGUAGCGGUGAAAUGCGUAGAGAUCUGGAGGAACAUCAGUGGCGAAGGCGACCCCCUGGGCUGAUACUGACGCUGAGGUGCGAAAGCGUGGGUAGCGAACAGG
rnacentral:rRNA from 1 species